AACGAACGCUGGCGGCAGGCCUAACACAUGCAAGUCGAACGAAGCCUUCAGGCUUAGUGGCGGACGGGUGAGUAACACGUGGGAACGUACCUUUUGGUUCGGAAUAACGCAGAGAAAUUUGCGCUAAUACCGAAUGAGCCCUUCGGGGGAAAGAUUUAUCGCCGAAAGAUCGGCCCGCGUUGGAUUAGGUAGUUGGUGUGGUAAAGGCGCACCAAGCCUACGAUCCAUAGCUGGUCUGAGAGGAUGAUCAGCCACACUGGGACUGAGACACGGCCCAGACUCCUACGGGAGGCAGCAGUGGGGAAUCUUGCGCAAUGGGCGAAAGCCUGACGCAGCCAUGCCGCGUGAAUGAUGAAGGUCUUAGGAUUGUAAAAUUCUUUUACCAGGGACGAUAAUGACGGUACCUGGAGAAAAAGCCCCGGCUAACUUCGUGCCAGCAGCCGCCGUAAGAC
rnacentral:rRNA from 1 species